GGUCUUGUAGUGUAGCGGUUAUCACUCGGGAUUCUGAUUAUAAGAUGUUCCCGAAACCCAGGUUCGAAUCCUGGCAGGACCU
rfam:Pisolithus tinctorius Marx 270 unplaced genomic scaffold scaffold_188, whole genome shotgun sequence.